rnacentral:misc_RNA from 1 species
GAUGAAGAACGCAGCGAAAUGCGAUAAGUAGUGUGAAUUGCAGAAUUCCGUGAAUCAUCGAAUCUUUGAACGCACAUUGCGCCUCCUGGUAGUCCGGGAGGCAUGCCUGUUCGAGCGUCACCAAAUCCAACUCAAGCGGUUUUGCGCUUGGUCGUGGCGGAAGAGUCGGUCUGGUUGCCGUCUCCCCUCCGAAAAUCAACGGCGGAAAGUCACUGGCAGUCAGCGUAGUAGUAUCGUUCGCCGAACAUCCAGUGGCAUUCCUGCCGACGUACCCCCACAAUUCUCGUGAUUGACCUCGGAUCAGGUAGGGAUACCCGCUGAACUUAAGCAUAUCAAUAAGCGGAGGA